rnacentral:lncRNA from 1 species
GCCGAAUCUUUGACAUGUGGUACAAAUAUCUAUAGUUUGAACACAAUACGAAUUGUUCCUUGGUAGUUUUCUUCAAAAGCAUCCACGCAAAAAUUCUGGAAUAAAAUUUUCUAUGCAGACUUCCUUUGCAUACAAUAAUGAACGAGUAAUUACAUUUGCAUCAAUAUGCCAUUUGUUAGGACCACGGAUUCUUGAAGAAGAUAAUGAAUUCCAUAUCUUAGCACCUCCUCUGGUUAACGUCAAGAUUAACUGCGUGUAACUCCUCAUUUGGUUUGGGUUUAUAAUAUAAUUGAACCAUAAGUUUUAACAGAUAAUAAGCACAACAAACCUUAUAAAUACAUUCGUAAUACACUAACAACUUCUCCAAAACGAUCUUAUCAUUUGUUGGUGAACAUGCAUUGACGAUAAUCCACAAUAUUGUUGUCAUUAAUUUUCCCUAAUACACAGACGAAAGUUCAUCUGAAUCACCAACAAUAAUGUCAUUAGUGAAAGUUGAUGGAAUUUCUAUUAGCAACAAUUUGCUCGAGUUAACUUCUUUUUUCAUUUGCCUAGAAAUGUUGUUGAAAUUCUUGAAAUCAUCGAAAAUAUUGCUUAAAGGCCUUGAAAUUCUUGAACCAUAUUUGUUUGUCACUCCACCUAGAUUGAUAAUA